GAGUUUGAUCCUGGCUCAGGAUGAACGCUGGCGGCGUGCCUAACACAUGCAAGUCGAACGGAAUUUACAUGAAGCCUAGCGAUUGUAAAUUUAGUGGCGGACGGGUGAGUAACGCGUGGGUAACCUGCCUUGUACAGGGGGAUAACAGUUGGAAACGACUGCUAAUACCGCAUAAGCGCACAGUACCGCAUGGUACGGUGUGAAAAACUCCGGUGGUACAAGAUGGACCCGCGUCUGAUUAGCUAGUUGGUGAGGUAACGGCCCACCAAGGCGACGAUCAGUAGCCGACUUGAGAGAGUGAUCGGCCACAUUGGGACUGAGACACGGCCCAGACUCCUACGGGAGGCAGCAGUGGGGAAUAUUGCACAAUGGGGGAAACCCUGAUGCAGCGACGCCGCGUGAGCGAAGAAGUAUUUCGGUAUGUAAACUUCUAUCAGCAGGGAAGAAAAUGACGGUACCUGACUAAGAAGCCCCGGCUAACUACGUGCCAGCAGCCGCGGUAAUAC
rnacentral:rRNA from 1 species